rnacentral:tRNA from 1 species
UUACUUUUGGUGUUUAGUCAUGUCAAAUUUUGAUUUUGAAGGUUUUGAAGUAAU